rnacentral:rRNA from 1 species
GACGAACGCUGGCGGCGUGCCUAAUACAUGCAAGUCGAACGCAGUGGGGACGGGUGAGUAACACGUGGGUAACCUCCCAUCAGAUGGGAUAACACUUGGAAACAGGUGCUAAACCGAUAUUGAUUGAUGGACCCGCGGGUCAUUAGCUAGUUGGUGAGGUAACGGCUCACCAAGGCCACGAUGCAUAGCCGACCUGAGAGGGUGAUGGUACACACUGGUACUGAGACACGGCACAGCAUCAUACGGGAGGCAGAAGUAGGGAAUCUUCGGCAAUGGACGAAAGUCUGACCGAGCAACGCCGCGUGAGUGAAGAAGGUUUUCGGAUCGUAAAACUCUGUUGUUAGAGAAGCGGUAUCUAACCAGAAAGCCACGGCUAACUACGUGCCAGAAGCCGCGGUAAUAC